rnacentral:lncRNA from 1 species
AGAGCUCGUAGCUUUCUGGAUCAUUGCUAAUCGGACUUCCGCGAUGCAUACAAAGCCCUCCACGCGCCCUGUCUUCGGCAAAUCUGACCAUGACUCCAUUUUGUUGGUCCCAGCCUAUAGGCCGAAACUAAAACUGGAAACGCCCAUGCUGAGGUCAAUAGAACACUGGUCUGACAAAUCUUCACCAAUCUUCACCACGGUCUGACCACGCUUCAAGAUUCCUUCGAUCACGUGGACUGGGAUAUGUUCCGCAUAGCCUCAGACAACAACAUUGAUGUAUACGCUGACUCGGUGAGCGAGUUUUAUUAGCAAGUGCAUUGGAGAUGUCAUUCCCUCUGUGACCAUUAAAACCUUCCCUAACCAGAAACCGUGGAUUGAUGGCAGCAUUCGCGCGAACCACCACUUUCUAAUCAUGGCAAGGUGACAUGAAACACGACCGAACAAAAGCAGUGCAGCUAUUCCCUCCACAAGGCAAUCAAACAAGCAAAGCGUCAGUAUAGAGACAAAGUAGAGUCGCAAUUCACCGGCUCAAACAUGAGACGUGUAUGGCAGGGUCUACAGUCUAUCACGGAUUAAAAAAGAACCAGCCCCUUCGGACACCGACGUCUUGCUCCCAGACAAAUUAAACAACUUCUUUGCUUGCUUUGCCACUGACACGGCCCGCUACCAAAGCCUGUGGGCUCUCCUUCUACGUGGCCAAGGUGAGUAAAACGUUUAAACGUGUUAACCCUCGCAAGGCUGCCGGCCCAGACGGCAUCCCUAGCCGCAUCCUCAGAGCAUGCGCAGACCAGCUGGCUGGUGUGUUUACGGACAUAUUCAACCAAUCCCUAUCCCAGUCUGUUGUCCCCACAUGCUUCAAGAUGGCUCCAUUGUUCCUGUUCCCAAGAAAGCUAAGGUUCACUGAUGAUGCAAUCGCCAUCACACUGCCCUAUCCCAUCUGGACAAGAGAAAUACCUAUGUAAGAAUGCUGUUCAUUGACUACAUCUCAGCAUUUAACACCAUAGUACCCUCCAAACUCGUCAUUAAGCUCGAGACCCUGGGUCUCGACCCCGCCCUGUGCAUCUGGGUCCUGGACUUUGAGGUGGCGAAGGUAGGAAACAAUAUCUCCACCACGCUGAUCCUCAACACUGGGGCCCCACAAGGGUGCGUUCUCAGCCCUCUCCUGUACUCCCUGUUCACCCAUGACUGCAUGGCCAUGCACGCUUCCAACUCAAUCAUCAAGUUUGCAGACGACACUACAGUGGUAGGCCUGAUUACGAACAAUGACGAGACAGCCUACAGGGUGGAGGUGAGGGCCCUCGGAGUGUGGUGUCAGGAAAAUAACCUCUCAAUCAACGUCAACAAAACAAAGGAGAUGAUCGUGGACUUCAGGAAACAGCAGAGGGAGCACCCCCCCAUCCACAUCGAUGGGACAGUAGUGGAGAAGGUGGAAAGUUAAGUUCCUCGGCGUACACAUCACAGACAAACUGAAAUGGUCCACCCACACAGACAGCGUGGUGAAGAAGGCACAACAGCGCCUCUUCAAUCCCAGGAGGCUGAAGAAAUUUGGCUUGUCAUCUAAAACACUCAAACUUUUACAGAUGCACAAUCAAGAGCAUCCUGUCGGGCUGUAUCACCGCCUGGUACGGAACUUGCACCACCCUCAACCGCAAGGCUCUCCAGAG